CGGUAGAGCUCCUUCCAGGUAUAUCGGUAGAUCUCCUUCCAGGUGUAUCGGUAGAGCUCCUUCCAGGUAUAUCGGUAGAUCUCCUUCCAGGUAUAUCGGUAGAGCUCCUUCCAGGUAUAUCGGUAGAGCUCCUUCCAGGUAUAUCGGUAGAGCUCCUUCCAGGUAUAUCGGUAGAGCUCCUUCCAGGUAUAUCGGUAGAGCUCCUUCGGUUGUUGAUCUUAAAGGUACUGUUUCGGUAUUUAGCAAACACUUAGUAGCAUAAAUUCGAUUUAACGAAAUAUUGGAAUUGCCUUUUGGUGGAGCCUUUUAUCAAAAUCGUAGGCAAAAUUUUAUUACGAAAAUGUUAAUGAAGUCGAUUCUUCAACAUAACGUGUGUACAAAUUCCCAAAACGAAUGGACCUGCGUCGCUUUCUUUUUACUGUAGUUGAAAGCCUAUGUGUCAUCUUUAACAAAGCUGAAUCAGCAUCAACAUAGUGCUGAAUAAAUUAUCCUGCUUGA